rnacentral:lncRNA from 1 species
UCAUCGUCAGGAUGUGCUGCAAAAACGUGUCGGUUUUCGAGACUAAAAUAUUUCAUCGAGCAUUAUUGAUGCUUUUUGGAAUAUAAUGUUAUAAUUAUAUGUACCUAUUUGAGGUAUUUUCGUCUCAGUUAUCCCAUUUUUUUAAAUAGCCUUAAACACGAGAUUACAUAAGUUUUUAAAAUACGGUAACAUUUUUAGGAUAAGAUGUGAAAAUUCCAGUCUCCGGUCUCCUAAAGCUUUAAUAAAUGAGUUAUAACUCGUUAACUCAGAGAGCGGCAACAAGCCAAUAACGCAACCCAACACAGUGUUACCCAGGCCUACCAAUGACCCACACAAUAAAAAUCCUCAUUGGAAACUACAUAAAAAAGCCUUUGGUCCUCGACUUUGUAGACUUCGAAAAAGCUGUCAAGCCUUCGUUGACUGCAGAAUAAGAUGAAGCUGGAGAAACUCUUUAACUUGAGAAUGCCCCAUUCAGUUAUUUGAUUUCACAAAUUAGGAAGUAUCGGAAUGUAAAAAUUAAAUCAUGGUUAUGGAGGACGUUUCUAGUAGAAGAUACCCCAGAGGAUAAUUUCCAAUCAUUAGCAUGCCAAAUUCUUUAGGAUUCCCAUUUACUGCCGAGUUUUAUAACUUUAGCGUAUCACGUUUUAUCAGAAGCAAUUUUCUUGGAAUGUUAAUACCCUUUUUUAGUCUAGAAGCUUGUAGAGCGCCACUAGCCUGCUUUCAGGUUCGAAAAAUUACAGGAUGUUAACAAGUAACUUAAUUUUGAAACCGUAACUGUGGACAUACUUUCUUAACAUAUCGGCAUGCUAAAACGCGUAGUUUAGAGGUCUACAAGGUAAAUUAAGGGCAACAUUGUAUGUCAGUCCUCGUACUUUGCAUUAAACGCUUCUAGAGGACGUAAUAUUUGUGUAUCCGGUGGGCGUACAUUUAGCAUAAAAUAUAUUUUAAGGUAGACUCUUUUUACUGUAAGUUAAGGAACCAAACUAGUCUACACAUCACACGUAGCAGGAUACCAGUCAGCACCUACGUGAGCAUCCGUACCAGCAACCAACUCAACAUUAUUUUGCUAUUUAAACCAAUGUAUCAUUUAAAAUUCGUCUUUAUUCUUCAAGUUGUCUUGCGUUUAAUAAAGAACCUGUAACUCGUGUU